rnacentral:rRNA from 1 species
AGAACGAACGCUGGCGGCAUGCCUAACACAUGCAAGUCGGACGCGUGGCUUCGGCCACGAGUGGCGCACGGGUGAGUAACGCGUGGGAACCUGCCCAUCGGUACGGAACAACCGCGGGAAACUGCCUCUGAUACCGGAUAUACCCUGCGGGAGAAAUAUUUAUCCCCCAUGGAAGGGCCCACGUCGGAUUAGGUAGUUGGGGGGGUAACGGCCUACCAACCCUGCCAUCCGUAGCUGGUCUGAGAAGAUGAUCAGCCACACUGGGUCUGAGACACGGCCCAGACUCCUACCAGAGGCAGAGAGGGGAAUAUUGGACAAUGGGGGCAACCCUGAUCCAGCAAUGCCGCGUGAGUGAAGAAGGCCUUACGGUUGUAACGCUCUUUCGGCGGGGACGAUGAUGACGGUACCCGCAUAAUAAGCCCCGGAUAACUCCGUGCCGGCAGCCGCGGUAAUACAAAGGGCGCUAGCGUUGUUCGGAAUUACUGGGCGUAAAGGGCGCGCAGGCGGCGGUUCAAGUCGGGCGUGAAAGGCCUGGGCUCAACCCGGGAAUGGCGCUCGAGACUGGACUGCUGGAGUCCGGGAGAGGAUGGUGGAAUUCCCAGUGUAGAGGUGAAAUUCGUAGAUAUUGGGAAGAACAC